CUGCAACUUGACAAAAGAAAAAUGAAAGGCUAUUUAUUUGGGUAGGUGUACUGAUAUGCUCCAAACUGUUUUUUUUUUUUUUUUAGACAUGCUCUUAAAGAUUAAUCUGUAUCAUGAUGUAAAUUAUCGAGGUUUAUUUUCAAAGUCACACGAAGAAGCUUUCUUACUUCCAACAGCUGCAGCUAUCGUAAGGUUUCUUACUUACAACAGCAAUAGCUGUCAUAAAGAUGCAAAGAAUAGGAUUUAAAACGGGUGUUUUCGAGUUGGCGAUUAUGACAACUAAAUUUGAGUGAACCCUACAGAUCAUAAUCCAUUUAAAUCCGACUUAUUUGUCAAAGUUCAUAGUUCAUCAUUUCAGUAGCUCUGUUUUGUUUGACAAGGAAGUAAGCAAUGAAAUGGUUAUAAUGCUAAUGUGGUACACAAUGUCAACCAUAGUUUCAUACAAGUGACUAUUCCUUAAAACAAAUAAUACUUGGAUGGACUUGAUCACAGUGCUGGAAUUAUGAUGCGUGGAUGUGCCUGUCUCUAUUGAUGAUAUAUCUAGAACUUUGUGUGAUGACCAAAAAUUGCUUUUCUUUCCACUUGUGGCAUUGGGAAGCAUCAAAUGUGGCCGGUCUAUUUUGAUGAUAUAUCUAGAACUUUGUGUGAUGCCCAAAAAUUGCUUAUCAUUGCACUUGGAUGACACUCCAAAGAAAUUGUAAAUGGAAAUGUACUAUGCUUUGUGUGAGAAUCAUGAACAAUCAUUGCUCUUAUAUUGAUAUUUUUCCGCAAUUUCAGUGUUUGUUGUAUUCUCUUGCAAAUGUUUUUUUCUUGUGCCCCAGAGAGUGAGCUAAAUUCGCUCUAUUAUGCCUGUCUUGCAGAAUAUCCUACUGUCAUCUGUAGUUGGCAAAAUCUCUCGGGAGGAUCAAAUGCACGCAAUGUUGAGGUAAGCAACAUGUGAUUAUGUUUUUUUUUUUUUUUCAUCUUUUGCAACUUGACAAAAGAAAAACAAUAGACUAUUUAUUUUGGUAGGUGUACCGACAUGCUCUAAAAAAUUUUAUGUUAACAUGUUCUAACAGAUUAAUUUAUAUUAUAAUGUCAAUUAUCGAGAUCUUUAUUAAAGUCAACCUAAGAAGCUUUCUUACUUCGAGGAUCAGCACUGUGAAGAUACCAAAAUAGGAUUUAAAACAGGUGUUUUCGAGUUGGCGAAUAUGACAACUAAAUUUGAAUGAACCCUGCAGAUUAUAAUCUGAUUAAAUCUGACUUCGUUGUCAAAGUUCAAAGUCCAUCUCUCUUCUAUUUAAAUUCCCACACCAUCUCAAAGCACAUUUUCUUUUUCUUUGUUGUCAAGGAAAGGCGGAGAGAAGCAAUCGGGGAGAACUAUGCUUUGUCGCCUCGUUAAGUCAUCAUGAAUGCCUCACAUUUGCCACAAUGUAUUUUGAUUUAAGAUUGUGAGAAGGCCGUCAUUCAAUACCACUCGCAACCAUUUAUCUUGGGUAGGCAAGUCUUGUCACUAUAACCCCACCAAGCUGCCGAAGCUCCCGUCACGGACAAGACAAGAUUCAAGCAGUAUCAUCACUACUGGUUUAUCCUCGAGACCUCACGUUAGUAGAAUAUCAGCUAGUAUUAGUAGGCCACAAUCAUUGGCGAUUAGCGGUCCCCCAUAGUUCUGCAUUAAGAGAAUCAGAAGGGCCAUUCAGGAAUGACAGUCAUCAAAAGAAUCGCAUUUUUUAGACUUGGAAUGGGAAAUACCCUGGUAUGUCUUCUUGUUGAAUUUCGGUUGCAGUCGAGUAUGUGUAUAAUUUGUAUAUUUGAUUACUCCUGUAGUUGUCUAUUUCGCACGACAAAGUAAUAUGUACGGGGGCUAUCUGAUUUUCUCAUCCUAUUUUCAUUUUUUUUCUUUUU
rnacentral:lncRNA from 1 species